rnacentral:tRNA from 1 species
GGACAGAUGGGUGAGUUGGCUGAAACCACAUCCCUGCUAAGGAUGCGUCGGGGUAACCUGACCGAGGGUUCGAAUCCCUCUCUGUCCGCCA